GAAAGUUCUUCGGGAACAUGCAUUACAGUCUCUUCAUUUUCAUUGAUACUGACGGAGCCAAAACCAUUUUCCAUAAAAUUUUGGCCCAUCGGUGAGCCCAGACCAUUGGUGAAAAGAAUGCUCAGUACCUCACAGUCCUUCACAAGCUUGUUAAUCACGUCAAUUUCAUAGAAGGGCUGCUUCACCACAUCUUGGAUAAAAGGUUAAGGAAGCGGUUGAGUUGGUUGGGAUCGAUUUGGCCAUCUUCGGAACACAUAAGUUUCAACUGUUUCUUCAAGAUUUUGUAGCACAAGAACUUGUCACGCCAACUGGGCAAGACUUAUCAGAACGAUGCUUGAAGCUGAUUGAGUGGAAGGGUUGAAGGGAAACAAAAUGCAGGCUUUUAUUGUUGGGGGAUUGGAAUAUUCGGGCGGACGGAAAGUUGAAUUUCGGACGCAAAUGCAUAGUUUUCUCCGUCUUUUUCCUAAUGGAAGGCAUAACAGUAUUUGUUCCAUUUCUAUUCUGUUGUUUUUGUUGUCUUGUUAGAAAAUUAUCUUGGGAAAAUCUACUAUAUAUCACAAAGCACUUAGUAUUGAUCACAUGAUGCCCGAAUCUACUGCUGAUUGUAGUGAAUGUACCACAAUAUUAUAAUUUGGUGAUUG
rnacentral:sRNA from 1 species